AAAGCCAAUGCAUGCUUUUACAGUAUGAAAAUUGGUGAUUUAUAAUAACUUAGCAAAUCGCAUAGUGAAAACAGGCGAUAAAUCAUUCAAGUUUCUGACCUAUCAGCUUUCGACGGUAUGGUAUUGGCUUACCGUGGCAGUGACGGUUAACGGGGGAUUAGGGUUCGAUUCCGGAGAGGGAGCCUGAGAAACGGCUACCACAUCUAAGGAAGGCAGCAGGCGCGCAAAUUACCCAAUUCUAACAGUUUGAGAGAGGUAGUAACAAGAAAUAACAAUACAAGGCAGUUAAAAUGCUUUGUAAUUGGAAUGAUAGAAAUUUAAACCCUUUUUAAAGUAUCAAUUGGAGGGCAAGUCUGGUGCCAGCAGCCGCGGUAAUUCCAGCUCCAAUAGCGUAUAUUAAAAUUGUUGCAGUUAAAAAGCUCGUAGUUGAAGUUCUGCUAAAAGUAACCGGUCUGCUUUGAAUAAAAGUGGUAUCUUGGUAUGUAUUUAGCAAUGAUGUCCUUUGAAGUGUUUUUUACUUUAUUGUAAUAAAGCAUAUUCAGGACUUUUACUUUGAGAAAAUUAGAGUGUUUCUAGCAGGCCAACGCUUUGAAUACUGCAG
rnacentral:rRNA from 1 species